rnacentral:misc_RNA from 1 species
CAAGUCAAAUAAAAGGGUUAGAAUCAAUACACACUAUAAUAAAUAAUAGUAAAGAAAUAAAUAUAAAUGUAAAAUAAAGAAGAAAAAAAAGGAAAACAAAUGGGAUUUCUCAUAUAUCGGUAGCCAAUUCGUCUGCAAAGUCACUUUUACUAGAAUAGUAUUUUUUUUAUUUAAGUUAUUGUGGCAGGCAUGAAAUUAGAACAAUUGACAUUUAAGGUUCUGAAGUUUCACGAGAGAGAAUAUAAAAGUACAGUGUUGCCUCAUACUAUUAAUAUUGAAGUAAUUUUUGUCAAAAAAUAAAAGAAUGACCUAGCAAUUCAUGAAGAGCAGCUUUACAAUUAGAGUAUAUCCAAAGGGCAGCUGAUAAGUGUUCUAUUAGCUAUCAGCUGCCUUUUUAAAAGAUUUUAUUAUUAGUAAACAAGCUGGUUCAGCUAUUUGGAUGCUCAUUAGCUACAUCUAACGGCUGAACUAAACGCUCCCUUAAAAUUACUAAUGUUUACCGCCAUAUGGAAUCAGUUUGAGUGUGCAUCAUUAAAUCAAG